UACGUAGGGGCCUAGCGUUGUCCGGAAUUAUUGGGCGUAAAGAGCUCGUAGGCGGUGCGGUAAGUCUGUUGUGAAAUCUCCGGGCUCAACUCGGAGUCUGCAUCAGAAACUGCCGUGCUGGAGUGUGGGAGAGGUGAGUGGAAUUCCCGGUGUAGCGGUGAAAUGCGUAGAGAUCGGGAGGAACACCUGCGGCGAAAGCGGCUCACUGGACCAUAACUGACGCUGAUGCACGAAAGCUAGGGGAGCAAACAGG
rnacentral:rRNA from 1 species